rnacentral:rRNA from 1 species
AAAACCGAGGAUGGCCUUGGCCUUCGUGAUCUCCACAUCUUUAACCUGGCCAUGUUGGCUAGACAAGGUUGGAGACUACUACAAGACCCUGAGUCUCUAUUUGGGAGGGUGCUGCGGGCUAAAUAUUUUCCUGACGGGAAGCUUCUGGACGAUGUUCCCGCCCCUGGCAUAUAGUACACUUGGCGCAGCAUCCUAAAAGGGGUGGACUUAUUAAAGGAAGUGAUUAUGUGGAGGGUGGGGGAUGGGACUAACAUCAAGGUGUGGGAAGAUCCCUGA